GCAGAUAAGGAAGGAGAAUUGGUUCAACAACACCCUGAUGUGGAAAGUGACAAAGCAAAAGCUGGCACACCAAUGAAAUUUCAAAAUAGGUUAUUGGUUGUCAAGACUAUCAAAGUAGACAGAGCACGCUCUUGAGAUUGAGAAUCCUUAGAGUUGGUUACAAGGAAAUUUUCGAGAUUUUUGUUGGUGUCAUGAAGGAAGGAAGAACGCCACCAUAGAAUAUCAACACCUACUGAUGGGUGUUUGGGCUUUACCGGGUCAUGCUAAUGAUGUUAAAGAAGCACUUGCUGGGAGGCAACCCAAUUUCUAACUUUUUCUUUUUAAUUACUUGUGUGAUUUGGAUUUGAUUUUUCUUUGUGUGUUUAAGUUUUUUCAGUUAUAUGCUGCUUCUGAUGGCAAUGAUGAUAACAUUUACUGAUGGAUGUCACUUUCAGCAUUUACUGAUGAAUGCUACUGGGAUAACAUCUAUUGAGGGAUGCUAUAAGAUUUAGGUAUCUACUGAAGGAUACAGGGAAGCACACCUACUGUACUUAGGGUAUGUACUUAGGGUACUUGCUACACUACUUACCACUACUACAAUACACCCUACUUCUACCCUUGCAGUACACUCAACUCCUACCCCUGCAGUACACCCUUCUCCUACCCCUACAGUAGACCCUCUUCCUCCUGUAGUGAUUAUAACCCCCACUCUUCCCCCCAUGCUUAUUACCCCCACUCCUCCCCC
rnacentral:lncRNA from 1 species